rfam:Trichomonas vaginalis G3, whole genome shotgun sequence.
UACUUGGUUGAUCCUGCCAAGGAAGCACACUUAGGUCAUAGAUUAAGCCAUGCAAGUGUUAGUUCAGGUAACGAAACUGCGAAUAGCUCAUUAAUACGCUCAGAAUCUAUUUGGCGGCGACCAACAGGUCUUAAAUGGAUAGCAGCAGCAACUCUGGUGCUAAUACAUGCGAUUGUUUCUCCAGAUGUGAAUUAUGGAGGAAAAGUUGACCUCAUCAGAGGCACGCCAUUCGACUGAGUGACCUAUCAGCUUGUACUUAGGGUCUUUACCUAGGUAGGCUAUCACGGGUAACGGGCGGUUACCGUCGGACUGCCGGAGAAGGCGCCUGAGAGAUAGCGACUAUAUCCACGGGUAGCAGCAGGCGCGAAACUUUCCCACUCGAGACUUUCGGAGGAGGUAAUGACCAGUUCCAUUGGUGCCUUUUGGUACUGUGGAUAGGGGUACGGUUUUCCACCGUACCGAAACCUAGCAGAGGGCCAGUCUGGUGCCAGCAGCUGCGGUAAUUCCAGCUCUGCGAGUUUGCUCCCAUAUUGUUGCAGUUAAAACGCCCGUAGUCUGAAUUGGCCAGCAAUGGUCGUACGUAUUUUUACGUUCACUGUGAACAAAUCAGGACGCUUAAAGUAUGGCCACAUGAAUGACUCAGCGCAUUAUGAAGUCUUUUGUUUUCUUUCGAAAACAAGCCUCAAUGAAAGCCAUCGGGGGG